CCUGCUCUUUCCUCCCCCACCAGUAUGGCCCCACCUGCUCUUUCCUCCCCCCCCAAGUAUGGCCCCACCUGCUCUUUCCUCCCCCGAGGUGAGGCCCCGCCUGCUCUUUCCUCCCAUGGGGCCGCUGAGGCAUGAGCACCUGGGCACAGGUUGGGGCUCUGCAGGAUGAGGAAGACAGGCCAAUCCCUUCCCUCCCAGAAGCUGGCCGCCCAGCAGGAGGGACUGAGGCCAGACUCAUGUCCAGCAAGGAACGUGUGGUGUGUCCCCUGGGAAGUCUCUGGGCCCUGGGAAGAGGGAAGGUGCACGUCCUGGGAUGGUUGCGGGGCCCUGUUUUGGGAGACAAAGGGGUAGAGGGUCUGUCUUGGGCCCCCCCAGACUCUAGCCUGAGCAGUGCAGCCACCUACUGCCCCACCUCAGAGAAGUGCAGCGGGAAGGAGGCUGGAGGUGGUGCGGCGCUGCCUCGGGUGUCUGCGUGAAUGAGCGUGGCCAAGGACCAGUGCCACCUCAUGGCAAAGAGCUCCCGCAGUGUUUGUUAGAGUGCACAUCCCUACGUGCCCACUGGCACACACACGUGCUCACAUACAUGUCCGCAUACAGGCGUACACAUGCACGCUUGCACACAUGCACACAGACCACAUAGCACACAUGUGCACUGACCACACCUGUAUAGACCAUGCACAGUACACAUACGUGCAUACACAUGCCUGCAUACAGGCAUACACAUGCACGCUUACAUGUACACGUGCACAGAUCACACACAUGCACACACGUGUAGCUCACACACAGUAUACACAUACACAAGUGCACAGACCACACACAGCACUAACACAUGCACACACAAAGUGCAUAGGCCACACAGCACAUGCACACAGGUGCACAGACCACACAGCACACACAAGUGCACAGAGCACACUGCACACAUGCACACACACACGCGUGCAUGCACACUCCUCGCACUUCCAGCCUUGGAGCCCUUCUGUCUCUGGUCUUUCUCUUUGACCCUGCUGAGUGUAAGCUGCCUGGGGAGGGGCUACAAGGAGUAAUUGUGGCUUUAGGGGUCGUGGUGAUGCUGGAAUGUCAAGCGCCGUCGUGGGGUAUCCGACUGUCCGGGCUCCUGGUCCGCAGUGGCAGAGCGCCAGGCAGAGCCCAAUCAGGGUCUCGUGCUGCCCUUCCCUCCCACAGCCUGGCAGCCAUCCAGAGGAGGGGCUCUACCAGAUGCCAAGGUGCCCCGGUGUCUGUAUGGGUGUCCGGUUGGGUCCUGUGUUUGGUCUGCCCUGGAGGUGCUGGGCCCUCCUGGGAUGGGUGGCUCAGCCUCGAAUCCCAGGCCCCAGCCCAGGCAGGUGCUGCUGCCUGUUGUGGUUUCCUGGCCCAGCUUCUCCUUCUCCCUCUGCAUAAAAUCACAGUCCGUGAGUCUUCCAGCUGCCACCACGGCUGGGACACGCUGGGGGAGGGCUCCUCCCAUGCCUCCUGCACACAGCCGUCUGAGCAGGGCAGGUGCCCAACACCCCCCACCGGAGGACACGCUGCCCCUCAGCGAUGCCCCUACCUUUUGGGGGGCCUCGUCUCAAGCCCCCCCUUGGAGGCUGAAAUCACCCCAGGCACUGUGAGGGCUUCUCCAGGGGGCACCCUUUGAGCUGUGGGUCUGAUCACCCCAAGUCCCGCCCGGAGGAGAGGCACAGCCAGGGCGUGUGGUUUAAUGUUUGCCCCCUUCGGGGCUGGAGGUCUCAGUGUUUCUAGAUUCCAGACCCUGCUGCCAGAGAGACCUGCUGCCGGAGAGAAGGGGAGGAGGACUCCAGCUGGGCUCGGUCCCCCACAGUCAGGGACCCCCAUAAAGGACACCCCCUUCUCUCUAGAAAGAGCUGGGCUCUCAGCUAUUUCUAGUUGCUUCCCAGAAGCCGAGGAGCAGAAGGAGCUGUGAGAGCUUUGCAGAAACGCCCUUGUCCCCGCCCUCCUGAGCUAUGAAUGCCGUACAGAGCAGAGGCUGGGGCAUUGGCAAGAUCACAGGUUGAUGCUGCACAGCCCCAUUGACACAAACCCUCAAAGCAGACGUGAGAGGGACGGUUCACAAAGCUCGGACCUGCCGUGGAGGGUGCCCGGCAGACGUGGCGUGAGAGGGACGGCUCACGAGGCUUGGACCUGCUGUGGAGGGUGCCCAGCAGACGUGGUGUGAGAGGAACGGCUCACGAGACUUGGACCUGGUGGAGGGUGCCCAGCAGACGUGGUGUGAGAGGGACGGCUCACAGGGCUUGGACCUGCCAUGGAGGGUGCCCGGCAGACGUGGUGUGAGAGGGAUGGUUCACAGGGCUUGGACCUGCCAUGGAGGGUGCCCGGCAGAUGUGGUGGGAGAGAGAUGGCUCAUGAGGCUUGGACCUGCCGUGGAGGGUGCCCAGCAGACGUGGUAUGAGAGGGAUGGCUCACGAGGCUUGGACCUGGUGGAGGGUGCCCGGCAGACGUGUGAGAGGGACGGUUCACAAGGCUUGGACCUGCCAUGGAGGGUGCCCAGCAGACGUGGUGUGAGAGGGACAGCUCACGAGGCUUGGACCUGCUGUGGAGGGUGCCCAGCAGGGGGCUGAGCUCUGAGGGGUGGGUGCUCAGUGCACGGGUGCCCCCAGUGUCCUCUGAUCCUGUCCGGUGCCUCCCCCAACCCCCACACCCAUGCAGAACUCCCAGGUCACAUGCACGUAUGUCCAGGGCAUGGGGGUGGCGUGAAGAGGCCUGGUCAGGGCCUUUAGGGGCUGCAGGACGGAAUGGCCGCCUGGGGAGCCUGUGUGGCUGUGCCGGGCAGCCAUCCUGCAUUCCCACCCAGCGCGCAGUCUCCACCUCGGCCCCAGCAAAGCGCUAAGCAGCCGGAGAGACAGCCAGGGCGGCUUCCUGAAGGAUGUGGGAUGGUGGACUCCGGGGUCGAGGGAAUACGCAGGUUCCUGUCCCUCCGGGAGACCUAGAGAAGCUGCACACCCAGGAGCUUUCCAUGACCCGGGAGCAUGAGUGAAUGGGGGUUCCAGUUUGCUGAACUUUGCCGUCUUGUAAGGGUGGGGGCUGACGGCCGACCCUGGGAGGAGGUGACAUCGCCGGGGGAGGUUGUGGGCAACGGUGGAGGAGGAGAGACGGGAGGGGACCAUUUGGGAUGGAGGGGCCUCUUCAGAGUUUUAAAAGGCGUUUGUGGGGUGGAGUUGAGUGUGCUCUGGGCUUGGACACUUGCCGUGGUGCCCCUGGCUGGCCGAGGAGACUGGCUCUGGCCAGGGGCCCCGUCCUGAGAGGUCCUCAGCGUCUGACUCUCGGCCAGGCGCCAGCAAGGAGGGGCCGGUCCCCGGGGCUACCAGGCAGGCACGUGCACAUCGCCAUCGCCACACGCCAACUCCGCCUGGGUUUUACAAAGUCGUUGCCUUAAUGCAUGUGGACAGGAACUCCCUGAGGUCGCCCCAUGCCCCCUGGCUGUGCCAGGUACGGACGCCCUGGACCCUGCGAACAGGUGGGGCGGGCGAGGGGCCCAAGGGACGGGCUCCAGAGACACGCGCAGGGCAGGAGGGGUCUCACGGAGGGGUCUCGCACUGAGGCGCCCAGAGCUGGUGGUCCCGCUGGACGCCAUCCCUCUGCCCGGGAUCCACACGGCCCACGUGUGCCCGCCAUGCCCGCGCCCCACGCCAUUGCAGUCUGCCAUCCUCUGGCCGUGACGGUGGCUGCAGCUUCCCCAUUUGCGCCGUUGCCUCUGGCUGUCUGCACUUUUGUUCAUGCUCCAAAGAACAUUUCAUAAUGCCUUCAGUACCGACGUACACUUCUGACCAUUUUGUAUGUGUCCUUGUGCCGUAGUGACCAGGCCUUUUUUUGGUGGAUGUGUUACCCCGCACACUUCAAUCUCAACUUUGUGCACCGUCCAUUUUCUAGGGAUAGACGCCCAGGGAAUGAACUCUAGUUUUCUAACAGAUUAGCUGAGAUAUUAACUUACUCACACGGACAGGUUGAUGCCAGAGCCGUAAGAAUGCGCCAGUGCGGGUUUGCGGGGGACUUCGGGUGUGGGGUCCUGCGGCCGCGAUGGCCGUGGAAGGUUCUGGGGAUCCCUGCUGCCACGGGGACGAGUUCGGACGCCAGGUGGACCUGUGCACUCAGUAAAACGCAGUGAUUCAACCUGGACGGUGUGUGGCCUCCUCACUCCCACUGUCUCUGGGCGGCCGGUCUGAGGGCCGGGGACUUCUGGUCGAUGCUGGGGCUGAGUCGGGUGCGGUG
rnacentral:lncRNA from 1 species